GACAGAGGUGCCGAGCGUUAGGCGGAAUCACUGGGCUUAAAGCGUGUGUAGGCGGAUCCGUAAGUACCUUGUGAAAUCCCACGGCUCAACCGUGGAACUGCUUGGUAUACUGCGGGUCUUGAGCCACCUAGGGGCGAGCGGAACAAGUGGUGGAGCGGUGAAAUGCGUAGGUAUCACUUGGAACGCCAAUGGUGAAAACAGCUCGCUGGGGGUGUGCUGACGCUGAGACACGAAAGCCAGGGGAGCAAACGGG
rnacentral:rRNA from 1 species